UGGGUGACAGACAGUGAAGAGAAUAAAGGGUUGGGAGUGGAGGGUGACAGACAGUGAACAGAAUAAAAGGUUGGGAGUGGAGGGUGACAGACAGUGAAGAGAAUAAAGGGUUGGGAGUGGAGGGUGACAGACAGUGAAGAGAAUAAAGGGUUGGGAGUGGAGGGUGACAGACAGUGAAGAGAAUAAAGGGUUGGGGUUGGGAGUGGACAGACAGUGAAGAGAAUAAAGGGUUGGGAGUGGAGGGUGACAGACAGUGAAGAGAAUAAAGGGUUGGGAGUGGGGUGACAGACAGUGAACAGAAUAAAAGGUUGGGAGUGGAGGGUGACAGACAGUGAAGAGAAUAAAGGGUUGGGAGUGGAGGGUGACAGACAGUGAAGAGAAGAGAAUAAGAGGUUGGGAGUGGAGGGUGACAGACAGUGAAGAGAAUAAAGGGUUGGGAGUGGAGGGUGACAGACAGUGAAGAGAAUAAAGGGUUGGGAGUGGAGGGUGACAGACAGUGAAGAGAAUAAAGGGUUGGGAGUGGAGGGUGACAGACAGUGAAGAGAAUAAAGGGUUGGGAGUGGAGGGUGACAGACAGUGAAGAGAAUAAAGGGUUGGGAGUGGAGGGUGACAGACAGUGAAGAGAAUAAAAGGUUGGGAGUGGAGGGUGACAGACAGUGAAGAGAAUAAAAGGUUGGGAGUGGAGGGUGACCGACAGUGAAGAGAAUAAAGGGUUGGGAGUGGAGGGUGACAGACAGUGAAGAGAAUAAAGGGUUGGGAGUGGAGGGUGACAGACAGUGAAGAGAAUAAAGGGUUGGGAGUGGAGGGUGACAGACAGUGAAGGGAAUAAAAGGUUGGGAGUGGAGGGUGACAGACAGUGAAGAGAAUAAAAUAAACAGUUGGGAGUGGAGGGUGACAGACAGUGAAGAGAAUAAAAGGUUGGGAGUGGAGGGUGACAGAUAGUGAAGAGAAUAAACGGUUGGGAGUGGAGGGUGACAGACAGUGGUGGGUAGAAAUAUCUAAUAACACUCAAGAGUUAAAAUGGAGUGGAGAGUGGAGAGAUGGUGAAAUCAAAACGAGGACAGGGAAAUUGAAUAAAAAUUGUUAAUCAUAACAAUUUAUUGAAGUAUUUGCCAUUUAUCUUCUUAUGUCAUGAUAUUGAGACAAUCGUUGUGUUUCCCUUAACGAUUUCACCCCUUGUUGUUCUUGUUCAAAUUCAAGUGGAGUUUAUUUUGUAAAAUGGUCAAUUAAUUUAAGAAAAUGAGAAAAAAACUCUGGCUUCUAAAGAUUUCGUGAUUGAAUCUGCAAUUGGAUGUGAUUGCCAUGGUGAUGACAAGACUCACGUGACAGGAAAAACAUCCAGCCUUCAUACAUCAAGAUAGAGUCUGGUUUGCAGGUUAAUCCAAUGCAACUGUACAUCUGUCAAGAAACAAAACUAGAAGAACUUAACAUGAGGAAGGUGAAUGAGACAUUUUUUGGUUGUAUUAGAUAGCAUCGUUGACUUUUGGGUAAUUAUAUACUCAUCAUUGAUGAUAAGGUAAGUCAUUAGUUAAGCCCUCAUUCAGUCUCUUUGAGUUUGAUUGAAUAAGGCCUUUGGUGAGAUUUGUUGCAUUUCCAAGGGCCACUGAUGGCUACAGGCUGUAGUUUGGGUCAAAUGGCCAGAAGUCAAAAAGAAUAAAAACCCUCAACUUGAAAAUGGCAGUUGGAACAAAUGAAAAUAAGAUCUUAUGGACAUUCUAGGAAAUGAUAUGGCUAGCAAUGCCAAUGCUCUAGUCUAGAGUGACCAUAAAACUAAUGCUCUUAUUGUUCUGUGAUCCAGAGCUCAGAAAGUCAACAUGUAUUAUCCUCAGAUUAGUGUUUAAUCCAGUUAACACACCUCUACUAAGAGGAAUAAUGAUAAUAUGAAUGUUUUGUCCUCUCCAUGCACUUAGUUGGGGCUGAUCUCUCUAUCUCUUUAUGGAAAAUGUAUAGCCUGUUUUGCAUUUUACUGAAACAUUGGGAUAAGGAAGUUAUGGACAAAGGAGACAACUCCUCGAAUGUGCAUGAAAACAACAAAUGCCUUUUUCAGAGUGAGAAUGAUUUAGUUGACUUAUAACUAUUGAUUCAGGUUUCAAAACAUUGGCCAUGAGAAAAACCCUUGUUCAAAAUUCCGUUUCAGGUAGGUGUUUAUGGGGGCAUAGUAGACAAUAGUUAGGAUAUAUCAUCUGACAACUCCUGCAGUGUCGUUUUCAUGAGAACCUUGGCAGCCCAGUGAAUGAGUUGGGUUGUCAGUCACAGGGUAUUUGACCAGGUGUGAUUAUUUUUCUGCCUCAGCUCACUCUGUGCUCUUCAAUGACAUGCUCCUUUGGUUACAGCCAUUAAUGCAUUGUGUGUGCCACUUCCUCCAUCGUUCCCACUUUACUCAAAUGUAGGUCAAUUUGCUCCUACGUUUAUUAUUCAUUUUAUUUUUGCAGAUUAUGUGCAAUGUGCAGUUGGUUCUGAUCUGUCCAACUGCAAUGUCCAGUUGGUUCUGCUGUAUCUGGGAAUUUAAUUUCUCUCAAUUUUGUACAACUAUUUUAGAUUUUGGAGGUAAUAAUGUAGGCCUUCCCCAACCCUAGGAAAUGAAAACUGUAAAUUGUUUUAUUUUCAUGCCUUAUAUUCGUCAUUUUGCUUUUUAGAAAUGCAUUGCAUAUUUUUUUCUGAAAAAAAGAAAGAAAUGCGAUUCUCGUAGUAUUUUCAUAAGGGUCUGUGUAUAGUGUUUAUGUUCUAGUCUGUAUGUCACAUAUAUGAUUAGGUCUGAAGUUUUUUUUACACCACAUCUGUCCACUUGUCCCUUCCAGAGGGUAGGAUCUACAGGCUAACUAACAUGUAUUCCGUUCGUGUGUAGAUGUCUUUAGGUCUUUCAGCAGGACACAUGCAUGCACUAGCAACUUGGUCAUAUCAGAAUUUCGCCAAAUGUUGGUUAUAAUGGAAGAUUUAAAAACAUUUAGGAUAUUAUUUUAGAACUUUCUGGUGAGAAUUUUCAUUUUUUUGUCUUCUUUUACCUGCUCAGGAACUGUCAAAUAAAAUGGUAUGUGAUGGAAAACAGCAAUGUGCACUGCCCCACUCCCUAUCAACUAAAGAAAAAUUAUAUCGACAUAAAAAAACACUAUUUGUGUUAGUUUUCCAUAUCCCUCAUCCCAACUUUUGUCACUCAUUCGUUUGUUUUGUAUUUACAAAAAAUUAAAUACAAUCUAUUUUCUGAGAUAAGGUCAGCAGACUUUGCUCUGCACGAACGUGUGCACUGAUCUAUCUAUCUCGUGAAUUACCAGCUCAUGACCCCAAUUUAGCCUCCCAUGACUUGUCAAAGAAGUAUUGUCUCUGGCAUCGUAACUACUGAUACAUUCCAGUGAUUGUAAUUUACGUCGCCGUAUGGGGUAGAAUAGGCAGAGCAUUAUGGACAACUUUAUAGGAAUACCCUGUUGGGAGUUAUAGCCACCUGCUUAUUCAGACUCAAUGCACAAUAGCCUAAUUGCUCUUCAGUGGAAGGCCCCGCCACGGGAUCUCCAAAAUGAAUAUGUAGAUGUUUUUGUUUUAUAGUAGAAUAUCAAAGGCGCAUUAUCAUAGUCUUCGCGGAUUAAAGGGUUCUUCUAAUCAGUUGCAGCACCAUAUUAGCUAACACUCAACCCAGGAAAACGUUUACGCGGGGAGCCUACAUGGGAAAUAGGCCUGUUAUUGCCACAUGGUUUCUGUUUUAUAUCACCCACCUGUGUGUGUGUCAAAUAACGGCUAAUGUAAUCAUUUGUAAUAAAACAAUGUAAUAAUGAUGAUGAUACUAUUUAUGUAGGUCUAUAAAAUAAUAAUAUUAACCACAAUAAUAAUAGACUACAGAUCAUUUAUUCAAAAGGAAUCUUAUGUGAAUAUAUAUGUGAAAUUGUAAACAUGUUGUUUUGUGAUGUAGACUGCAACAGCGGAGAAAAUAUACAUUUAGCAGUUACUUUUUGGGCACCAUUGACAGUUCUAAGAUUUACGCACACAUGGAAAUUUGUUUAUCCUAAAUAUGUCAUGUGUUCGCCCUCUGCACGCCUAACAGCAGUGGCCUCUGUGUACAGGAUGACAUGCAAACCCAUCAUUCGACUCCAUUACAUUUCUCAUCUGACAAAUUGUUCCAAUGCAGACCAAAGCUAGAAGCUGCAGUUCUGAGGUGUUGCUUCUCAUUCAUUCAGCUGAAUUUUUAAUUCUUAUAUGAUUUAUCUAUUGUAAAAAGUUGUUGUCCAUGCCUAUACGUGUUUGUGUCCAUUUUUUACUUUUUGGUUUUAGUUUUUCAGUUGCACAUAAUAGGCUGUGAAUACAUACUAUCUUCAAGAAUGGCAAAAAAAAUGACUAUUUACAGUAUGGAUAUCGAGGAUGAAAGACAUCCCAUACGACAUCGUAAAUACAACAAAAACGACGGCUAUGAUUAACACACGAAGCCUACCUCUCCAAUUAUAUUUCAGGAGGUUUGGAAAUUAAUUAUUGCCUUUGAAGUACAUUAGAAGGCUGUGUGAUUUGCAAGUGUUGAACCGAAGGCCUCACUCGAUGUGGCUGCAAACGAAAAAAUGACUAAAUGAAAAAAGGGAUCACGGGAAGAAAAAGGGUAUCUUUGUUUGCCCCCCUUUGUUUACCAGGACGAUUUUUUCUCUCCAUUUUACUAAUUCAUUUCAAUGCCUUUCAAACGGGAAAAUGGAAAUUGCUCUUGCCCUCUAUUUCGGCAGCAGCGUCCUGGCAACAGAGCAAUUUUCUAUCAUCAGGGAUAAACGGCAUCGAACAGUAUAUUCUGAUAAAAAAAGCCCAUGAUUGCUGGCCUUCCUGUCUGUCAUCUCUCUGCGAAAUCCUCUCCUUCAAACCCGAGCUGUGUGCUGUCAGAUCUAAUAAUGUUGCGUAUUAAGUCGAGAGAGAGAACAAGCACUAAAGGGUAAGGAAGCCACGGCGUUCUUAUUUGUCCCAGUCGAAGAUAAAAGGUGUUCGGCAUAGCCAGCAGCUUCAUUUCGAUUAAUUGCGGCGUAGACAUCUUGUUGGAAAUAAAUCGUCCAAUUUGUAAAUUAGUGAUAGGCCUGACUCAUUAGACUAGCCUUUCUGUAAAAACACUGUGCACUUGUAUAUACGUCUCUGAGAUAACAUUAGGCCAUAUUGUUUGAGAUUAAAUUUGUAUUCGCAUAACCAAUAAGACCAUGACAUAAAAGUACAUGUUAUCAUCAGUAUGUUUUCAAUAUUAGCAAGACAUUCACUUGAAAUUCACCUAUAAACCAUUAGAAAAAGUCAACCUCAUCAUAAAUUCAUUUUUAGGUUUUGACUUGGCACCUGAUAAAUUGUGUUCGCAGGUACAAUAGCUCUAGUAUCUUUAUCAGUGAACAUUAAUCCCCACAAUAAAACAAUGCAUUCUGAGUGUUUCGCUUAUUCACAAUUAGGAGAAAAUGAUCAGAAAAUCGAUUUAUUGGUGCUUUCAGUUGUUCGUUCGUUCAUUUCCAAUGCUCAGUCUAUAUUUCAGCUUCAGACUGUCUCAGUCAAUGUAGUAAUCAUUUUAAACAAGUAAACAUCGAGUGUUUCCACAAAAUGCGAGAAAAAGAAAACAGGCGCGAUUAAUUAAAAUGGUGUGUAUGAGUCACCUUUUUAGUGCAGUAGUUUCGACUGUUUUGAAUGAAAUCCAUUUGACUAUGGAGGCUAAUGGUGCAGUUCCUUGUUUAUUUGUCAUAAUUGAGGCCAAAACGAGUUACUUUUUUUCGACAUCACUCAUCGCCAGUCGGUCUAGUUGAGUUGCACUUGCUGCAUUAUGCCUAUAUGAUUCUGACAUUGCUCGUCCAAAUAUUUCUAUAUUCUUAAUUCCAUUCCUUCACUUAGAUGUGUGUGUAUUGGGUAUAUGUUGUGAAAUUGUUGAUAUUACUUGUUAGAUAUUACUUCACUGUCGGAGCUAGAAACACAAGCAUUUCGCUACACUCGCAUUAACAUCUGCUAAACACGUGUCUGUGACCAUUACAAUUUGAUUGAUUUUGAUUUGAUUCUGAUGACUGAGAAAGAACCAUUGACUUCCGUUGAAAUGAGUCAGAUCAGUGUAGUCUAUUCAUUUCAACAUGCAAAUAACCAGCAAUCACUGUUGUUUUGUUAAUGUGACGGUGAUAUUACGUGUGGACCACAGGUGGCUGGAGACACCUUAAUUGGGGAGGACGGGCUCAACGUAAUGGCUGGAACGGAAUAAAUUGAAUGGUAUCAAACACUAGUUUUCCAUGUGUUUGAUACCAUUCAAUUCCAUUCCAUACCAUACAUUAUUAUGAGCAGUCCUCCACUCACCAGCCUCCUGUGGUGUGGAUGCCUAGAUGAUUUAUAUUCCACACUUUUACGCACAUUCGUUUUGCGUAAAAGCUCGUAAAAUGUUGUGCGCUAUGGUGUUAGAAGGGGUAGCGCUGCUAUGAGCAAACAAGGAACGCGGUCUGGUGAUGUAUGGGGAACUGUAAACUCAGAUGCUACCCUUCUGAUUUGUAUUGCACUAUUACAGUUAGACAGCUGCGUGUGGCAUCCAUCUACGUUCGCUUUCCCCACGCCACUUUCCUCACACUGCAGCUAUGGAAAAGCAUCGACGUCUUUAAGUCUGUGAAGACCCAGUGGGUUUGAGUUCUGGAGAAGAGAGACACUUUUAACUGCUUCUGCUAGACUGGCAAGUCCCCACGCCCCAAAUGCUCCUGAAAGCAGAGCUCUACAAGCAGAGCUCAAUGAGGUGGCUUGCCAAUAGCUGUUAGAGCGAGCUACCGCAAAAUCCCAGCACUUGGCAGAAAUAUGAAUGUUUUUAGUGCGGGCUACAUGUUAACGUUCAAAUAUGAUUAACAUGUGUAUCCAUUUUAAACACCGAGACGCAAAACGCCACAAAUACACGUGACACAAAGACCGACACAGUCACACAGAUAUACACACACACACGCGCGCGCGCAGGCACAUAUACAUACACAUAGUUCCUUUUAGAAGAG
ensembl:lncRNA